rfam:Clostridia bacterium 41_269 MPF_scaffold_384, whole genome shotgun sequence.
UUAAUAAAUUGGUACUUGCCGCAGACAGUAGGUGCUUUAAGCUUAAUGGUUUUACCGCCUACCGAGGCAAAGAUUUAAAGAUGCCUGCCAAGAAAAUAAAAGGCGGGAGUAUAGGGAAUUUUCAGCCUCCGUUUGUCUGCGGAGGUUAUUUGUUUUUUGG